AGAGAUUUAGGUUAACUUGUUAGACCUAAGGCCUUCAAAGCUUUAAGUGGGGGAUUUCUUCAUUCUCUG
rnacentral:tRNA from 1 species